GGCUGAAGGUGUGGGCACGCCUACGGAACUGCACGCCGGUUUCCGGGUCAUCGUCUGGAAAAGCGGGAGGGGAACCUGGAGGGGAGUGACCAGGAGAUUCCUCAUCCUGCUGGAGGGGACAAAAUGUGAAAGGGAGAAAGAUGUCUACACUCACCUAGCCGACGUAACCCCAUGGCAAGACUCGCUCCAGGUUCAACUUUCCACUCAACACCCUUGGAUUCAGUGUCGCCUCAUGCCAGGCUGUACAACUCCCACAUCUAUUGUAUUCUAAUAGUCAAUGUCCUGUGACUCAUGGCAUCACACACUAUUGGUGGGGAGGACCUCAGUGGCUCAACUGCACAUGGAAACCCUCCAAUCUCCUCCCAUCAUGCUUUUAGAGACCUCCCUCUCUAAAGAUCUGACAUGACAGGAGACAUUCAGAGACAUUUGAGGAAGAACGUCUAAUGGAACUGCUGUCACUAUCUUGAAAGUCCUUGCACUGCUAAUGUCACUGAAGAUCAGAACAGGUCUGUUGCACACAUCUAAAUCAUGCCGUCAGCUGAGUGGCUUGAUUGCAAUUUGUAGAUCUUAGGAAACAUUGAUAAGAUAAAGUGACUCAGUGAAUCAGACACUUGUGCAGCGCUGUGUCAGGGCUAAGAAGAGGAAGCCAGGAGAAGCAUGGCUCAGCAGUCGUACAAAUGGACAUCCUGGCUUGAAUUUCCUGCUUGCUAGGACAUCGGCAUCCUGAGACAAUACCCAGAUGACUACUUACUCGCUUAAUCACAGAGCAAACAACAUUCUUCUGACCUUCAAAAUAACAAAGAGGGGCACAGGUGAGCCUUGAAGGGGCAGAUUUCCCUUGUACAUACAGAAUAUACAUGUGUGUAACAAUGUCACUUAAGUACGCCUUAAGGAUACACAGGUUGCUUAUGAAAAUACAAUAACUUGCUCCUCUUACGUAGGGUUGUCUCAGUAAAGGUAAGAGCAAAAAAGCACAGAAAAAAAUCCCCCAUCACAACCUGCCACUUGAAGGCUGAUGUAAAUAAUUUUCCUAUGAAUCCAACAUGACAUGAUUGAUGCAACAGGCAGUAAGUAAGAAAGUAAGUCAUAUGACAGCUAAGAAAAAGGUCUAUUCAGUAUCUCUGUGUGUUUAAGAGCAACACAUCCUUAAAGGGUCAAGCCACCAAUUUUACACAUCAAAUUCUUUUUACAGUUCUUGGGGAGUGCUACUGGAUAUGUGAAAAAAAAAAUUUGUAAAAACCUUUUGUGGCUCCAGACGGAGCUGCAUGAAAUUUGAUAAAGUGCCUGAGUGAUGUCACUUGAUGUCAGCUGUGUCUGAAAACUAUAAGUUAAAAAAUGUUAAGAAAAAAAAAUCUGAAGUUGUGGAUGUAAGGUUACCAGGGCUAUGUAAUCCGCUACUCAUCUCUGCUUGAGGCUGGCAGCUCGACUCUUUAUUAGCCUCUACUGGCAUAACACACCUGAAUGUCCAACUCAAGUAAUGGCGGUUUAGUUGCAUUGUGGGUAAUGUAGGCACCAGGUUUGGACAAGGAAGAAGUGUGUAUUGAAUAAAAAAAAAAAAGACA